rnacentral:lncRNA from 1 species
CGAGGAGGACUCGAGCAGUUCGGCCGCGGCCGGGCGCCCCUCCCUCCCGGUGCCCGCUCCCCUGGCCGCGCCACCCUCCCUUCCUCCCCUCCCCCGGCCCAGCGCCGGCUCCCGGCUGCCCCCUCCCCCGACGCGCACACCCCGCCUGGCAGCUGGCGCCCCGGGCCUGGGGCCGCGGCGGCGAGAGGGGUUUGCUGGGAGGGCGGGAGGGAGGGAAGCAGCGGGGGAGGGAGGCGGGAGGGAGGCCGCCCCCCGCGCCCCUCCUCCUCCCCCCUCCUCCGCGGGCCGCCGGUCCCUCCUCCCGCCGCCUCCCUCCUCCCUCCUCCCUCCCUCUCUAAGACAUCCCCGCACGGCCCGGCUGCCGCGGCCACCUUCCCUGCCCGAGCUGCAGAUGUGGCGGAGCGGCCGGGCGCCGGGCGGCCGUGCCAGGGGAGCCCGCGCCCGGUGAGCCUCGCGCCCUGGCCCCCGCCCGCCCGGCCCCUUCCCCCGCUCGCUCCCCCGCCGCCCCCAGACCGCCGGAGCCCGGAGCCGGGAGCCCAACCGCCCCCGCCGCCGAGGGAAACCAACAGCGUCCACUCACAAUGGCGGCUUUAGAGGGUUCAGAGAACUCGUGCACAGACGGUGCCUGGCACACGGUAGGUGUUCCACGGAUCCUGACCCCUGCCCUUUCGGGUGUGCUUCCCACCCCCCCCCGCCGGCCGCCCGCCCGCCUCGGUUUCCCUGCGAGGCGACUCUGCCCCGCCCCGCGCUCGCUCCGCCCCCG